rnacentral:rRNA from 1 species
GGGGGGGGGGGGGGGGGGGGGUGGGAGCGGCGGGUCGGGGGGGGGGGGGGGGCUUGCGCCGGGAGGCAGCGGCGGACGGGUGAGGAAGGCCUAGGAAUCUGCCUGGGGGUGGGGGAUAACGUCCGGACACGGGCGGUAAUACCGCAUCGGACCUGCGGGAGAAAGUGGGUGAUCUUCGGACCUCACGCUAUCAGCUUAUCCUAGGUCGGAUGAGCUAGUUGGUGGGGUAAAGGCCUACCAAGGCGACGAUCCGUCACUGGUCUGAGAGGAUGAUCAGUCACACUGGAACUGAGACACGGUCCAGACUCCUACGGGAGGCAGCAGUGGGGAAUAUUGGACAAUGGGCGAAAGCCUGAUCCAGCCAUGCCGCGUGUGUGAAGAAGGUCUUCGGAUUGUAAAGCACUUUAAGUUGGGAGGAAGGGCAGUAAGUUAAUACCUUGCUGUUUUGACGUUACCAACAGAAUAAGCACCGGCUAACUUCGUG